AGGUCCAUUCUAAUUCUCUGCAGGUCAGUGCCAGUACCUGCUGGGUUUCGCUUGUGGACCACAUUAAACCGGGAAAACUUAAGCAUGUAUGAGCUUACUGGUAGUACGCUCAUGAUGUAGUUUUCUGGACAUGU
rnacentral:snoRNA from 1 species